GCCCACGUAGCUCAGUUGGCAGAGCGCGUUCUUGGUAAGAACGAGGUUCAGCGGUUCGAACCCGCUCGUGGGCUCCA
rnacentral:tRNA from 1 species